CUCAUUAAAGGAUCUGCUCCUCUACGAAAAUGGUUUCCUCAAAAUUACAACCUUUAAAGAAGGUUCUCGCUCCGAGCCUUAAACCGCAUACACGUCUAAUUGAGUUUGUGCACGCGCAUAGCAGCAGAGAGGGAACGUAAUUAAAAUGUCCAUUUAUGUUUCAAUGACCCACACGCACGCGCUUCUCCACUAGGUACUCUCGGCGCCCCUCCUCUUCCGGUUCUCUCUACUCCACAUAGACCACGUGGUUUCCUUGCAGGGGAAAAAAAGGGUGAAAAAAACGUUGGAGUCUGCGUAGGGGCGGCGUCACCCCGCUGCCGACAGAUCGCCGAAAGAGGCUGGGAGAGGCGGAGAAAGAGAGGAAAACAUCCCCGCCGACCUGCUCCCGCCAUACUUCCCCACUCCUCCACCGUAGAGCCAUCAUCACCGGCAGGCUGCAGCGAGGCACCGUCAGUGCUCACCGGAUCUACACCCACCUCCACCUGUUUUCUACGCGCUCCUGUCUGCUGGGAGGAGACGGAACUUUUCUGCUCCUCGCGGCGGGAUUUCUACUUUUUGAUUGACAGCAGCGUUGAUUGAUAUUCACUUUUUUAAGCUUUACUGGACUCGCUUUUUUCUUUUGUUGGAUUUUAUGAAUUGUUCUGCCAUGCAUAAGCUGUACAUUGGGAAUCUAAGCGACGGCGUGACCGCCGAGGACCUGGGGAGGACCUUUGACGAGCACAAGAUCCCCUACACCGGACAGUUCCUCAUGAAGAACGGCUACGCCUUCGUGGACUGUCCCGACGACCACUGGGCCAUGAAAGCGAUCGAGACCUUCUCCGGUAAAGUGGAACUUCACGGGAAACGGAUCGAGGUGGAGCACUCCGUCCCCAAGAAGCAAAGGACCAGGAAGCUGCAGAUCCGAAACAUCCCGCCUCACCUGCAGUGGGAGGUGCUGGACGGUCUGCUGGCUCAGUGUGGGACCGUUGAAAACUGUGAACAAGUCAACACAGACGGCGAGACGGCGGUGGUUAAUGUGACAUAUGCAACCAGAGAGCACGCCAGGCAAGCCAUCCAGAAGCUGAACGGAUACCAGUUUGAGAACAACGCCCUGCGGAUCACCUACAUCCCCGAUGAAACCUCAGAGAUGGACGGGGGCCAGCGGGGGCCCGACAACGGCCGGCGGCCCGGCUACGGCCCCCGCGGCAGCCUGCGCGGCAGCUCCCCCAGCUCAGGAAUGCCCCCCAAAACGCAGCACGCCGACAUCCCCCUCAGACUGCUGGUGCCCACACAGUACGUGGGGGCCAUCAUUGGCAAGGAGGGGGCCACCAUUCGCAACAUCACCAAGCAGACGCAGAGCAAGAUCGACGUUCACCGCAAAGAGAACGCCGGAGCCGCCGAGAAGCCCAUCAGCAUCCACUCCACCCCCGAGGGCUGCUCCGCCGCCUGCCGCAUGAUCCUGGACAUCAUGCACCAGGAGGCCAAAGACACCAAAACAGCUGACGAGGUUCCUCUCAAGAUUCUGGCUCACAACAACUUCGUUGGUCGCCUUAUCGGGAAGGAAGGACGCAACCUGAAGAAAGUGGAGCAGGACACGGACACCAAGAUCACCAUCUCCCCGCUCCAAGACCUGACGCUGUACAACCCCGAGAGAACCAUCACGGUGAAGGGCUCCAUCGAGGACUGCUGCAGGGCCGAGGUGGAGAUCAUGAAGAAGGUCAGAGAGGCCUACGAUAACGACAUUGCAGCCAUGAACCAGCAGACUCACCUGAUCCCUGGACUCAACCUGGGGGCUCUGGGCCUCUUCCCCUCCUCCUCCAACAUGCCCCCCCCACCACCGGGGAAUGCUGUCAGUGGAGCCCCCUAUGGAUGCUUCGGGGCUCCGGAGCAGGAGACCGUCCACGUCUACAUCCCAGCUCAGGCAGUGGGGGCCAUCAUCGGCAAGAAAGGACAGCACAUCAAGCAGCUGAGCCGCUUCGCCGGAGCCUCCAUCAAGAUCGCACCGGCGGAGAGUCCGGACUCAAAGAUGAGGAUGGUGAUAGUGACAGGACCCCCUGAGGCUCAGUUUAAGGCUCAGGGUAGGAUCUAUGGAAAACUCAAGGAGGAGAACUUCUUCGGGCCCAAGGAGGAAGUGAAGCUGGAGACCCACAUCAAGAUGGCCGCUGCUGCAGCUGGGAGGGUCAUCGGAAAAGGAGGCAAGACGGUGAACGAGCUGCAGAACCUGACGGCGGCGGAGGUGGUGGUGCCCCGAGAGCAGACGCCUGACGAGAACGACCAGGUCAUCGUCAAGAUCAACGGACAUUUCUAUGCAAGCCAGCUGGCCCAGAGGAAGAUCCGGGACAUCCUGACCCAGGUCAAACAGGCGCAGAAAGGUGGGAUGGGGGGCAUGAGCCCUGGCCCCCACUCCCACCCUCAGGGCUUCACAGAGAUGGGCAGCCCCCAGGGCCUGGCUCAGGACCACCAGCCACGCAGGAAGUGAGGGCCCCAAGCUUCCUGACAGGCUGACGGGCCCCCCCUGCCUGACGGACUGACGGACACAUGCACAGACGGAUAGAUGGACAGACACAGAAGAGCAACACACGGACCAGCGAUGGAUGGGGAGGGACGAGGAGGGAGGGGGGACGCCCCAGAGGGAUGAUUAAAUCAAAACACAGAAAAUGAGAUGAAACUUGAAUACAGAGAGACCCGAUGCCAGGCCAGGGAGGGGCUGAGUGCAGACGAGGGGGGGCGAUGAAAAGAAGGGGAAAUGUAAGUUUGGGGGUGGGGGGAGCAGCCUCAGUUUGUAUGCAGCUGCUCGUCAGACCCACCAGGGGGCGAUGUAACAGCACAGCUGGCUUCACUCUGUGAGCGGGGAGCAGCUGGGCCUCCUGUAAUCACACAUGUACAGCACCCCCCUCUUCUUUACUGGCCCCCCCACAGAGCCUUCCAUCUGUCUGGACUCGGCUCCUCCGUGUGAGGGGGUUUUUGAGAACAGAGAUAUAUGUAUAGAAAUGUUUUAUUCAGAGCUAUUAAUGGUAGAAUGCAGUGACACAGAGCUGGGUGGGGCUGGGAUGCUGCUGGGGGGCUCUGGAGGUCCGGACUCUGGCAUUGAGUCUGGAAGGGGGGCCUGAGAUGUUAACACUGCUCUGACAUAUAAGAGAAGACGACGUGAGGUUGUAAAUAUAUAAUCUUCGAGUAAACGCUGCGCCCGACCCCCCCGCCCUUCGUGUUUUUAACCUCGGUGAGAGGUCCCGCCCCCUUGACUCUGCAGUGUGUAGCAUGUGUAGCCUACAACAGGGGGGCUGGAAGAGGACACCUCCCCGCCACGCCCUGCAGUGCGGGGGUGGGCGCAGCGUCAGACAGCAGGGAUGCGGGGGCCGCAGGGGUCCUGCAGUUCUAUUGCAGCGGCUCAGAUAAACGCCAGCAGCCGUGCCAGCUGGCUCACGGCCCCCACCCUCAACGGCAUAUUUUAUAUAUAUUAUAUAUAUAUGAUAUGUGAGUUAGCCUGGGCCCCUCGGGGGGAGCGUUUGGAGGGCAGUGCCUCAGGUGUAAGCUCCUCCCACACCUGGAUGAGUAUGCGACAGGUGCGUCUGAGAGGGCGGUGUCUCAGAACCAAAAGCUCCUCGUACUGUUGAAAACCAGAGCCCCUUGGCGAGGCUCCCAGCCUUUACAUCCCAGUCUGCCAAAGGCCUGUGGGUGGAGCCUCCUGGCCCCGCCUGUGUGUGAUAAUGAGGGGCGGGGCCAAAGCUUGGACUCCUGCCAAGAUUAGAAGAGAAGAAAGAAAAAAGCUACCUCAGGGUAAAGUUACCUCAGUAUUCCGAACUUUUUCUUUCUUUUCGGCUUGCUGGAGUUUUAUAUAAGAGCUGAUAGUCCUGAAUAUUUUUUAUUUUUUUAAGGAAACUUUUUUUGGUAUCAUCUCGUUGCUUUGGCUUUGUUUUUUUUUUUUGUGUGUGUGCGAGACAGCGUGGCGUGAGUUCAGGAGGACGGAGACGCAGAAACCCGGCUUCGCCUUUUUAGUGAGGAAACUCGUCUUCCUGAAGUGUGAUUGAGAAGGGCCAAUGGGGAGGGGUGUUAACUCCUGGGGGGUCUGAGUGGACAAAUGCUCUCCUUCCUAGGGGCCCCAAUGGACCCCCCCUUCCCGACUGCCUUACUGUUGUGACACCAUCACCAAAGCAGAGGGUUACUUUGUUCGGUUUAAGAGGCGCUCCAUCACAGCCGUACAUGGAGACGGUGGGGGCUGGCCUUCCCGCGCACCCCCAGCUCGCUCUCUGAAUGUGAAUCCUUACCUGCACUGACCACAGCGCCCUCGCACUCCCCGUUGGUCGUGUGCGUGUGUGUUUGAAUGUCGCUGGUUUCCUUUUUUGUCAGAAUGUGGUUUGAUGAAACUUAAAAAAGUAGGAAAAGAGAGGUGUGCUCCUCCACCCGGGUUGUUGGGGCAACGCUCUUCCACCCGGGUUGAAGGGCAACGCUCCUCCACCCAGGUUGUUGGGGCAACGCUCCUCCUCCCGGGUUGAAGAGGCUCCUCCACCCGGGUUGUUGGGGCAACGCUCCUCCACCCGGGUUGUUGGGGCAACGCUCCUCCACCCGGGUUGUUGGGGCAACGCUCUUCCACCCGGGUUGUUGGGGCAACGCUCUUCCACCCGGGUUGAAGGGCAACGCUCCUCCACCCGGGUUGUUGGGGCAACGCUCCUCCACCCGGGUUGAAGGGCAACGCUCCUCCACCUGGGUUGAAGGGCAAACCCUCUUCCACCCGGGUGGAAGGGCAACGCUCCUCCACCCGUGCUGAUGGCAUCGUGCUCCUGCGCUCAUGUUGGAGGAGAACGCUCUUCCGCAUGGCAGACAGGAAGGAUUUGAAAAGCGGGAGCAGAAACGGCAGCAAUGCUGCAAAAUAGAAACUCUAGACGCUGAUACUUUUUGUAUUUUUGGAGAAAAAAAGUAAAAACGAGAGCGCGGUUGAGAAAAGACCAGUCUAUGAAGGACACUGCCAGCUAAUGCCCAUCUUUACGAGCUCCAACCAGCACUCCAUCACCAACCUCCAACCGAUGGAGACAAAUCUAUUCUGCUUCCAUUGUUGUCUGGCGGGGGAGGGGCUGUGAGAAGCUCCUCCCCUGCCCACAGCUCUCCUCAGAGCCACCGCCGCCGCGCUUUGGACUCCUGCUUCAACCUGCAGGCUCAUUUCUGUUUUAGUAAGAAAACGCAGCAAGCUUCAUUUGGACGUGACAUCCGGGUCGUGCCGUUGCACCGACGACAUACACUGAGGGGGAGGGGGAGGCAGGGGCCACCAGGCUCCUCCUCCUCUCGUUUGUCCUCCUCACUACUCUUUUUGGGAAAAAGCGUGACCUGCUUUGAUUUCCUCAAUGAAACGAGGUCAUUCUGGGUGGAGCCGCAGGGCCCCGCCCUCUCCCGCGCUGGACUCCAUUGUGUUCUCACUUCUGUUUAAGACCUUUUGAUUUUUCAUUCAUCUUUUUUUAUGAAGUAGUGUUUUUGAUCGUGUUAUUUUCCCUCAGAUCUGUUACCGCGUGGCGACCAACCUGCAGGCGUACUAACCAGUUACUGUGUCAGACCAGCAGGAGGCGUUUUCUGUUUCAGCUCACGGUGACUUCGGCGCCACCGGCGGUCAGUGUGCUGCCGCUGCGUGAAGCAUCCGCCUCUGCGGCUCAUCCACGAAAUCUUCGCACUUCCGUUGUGUUUAGAUAUUUCCUGUACAACUGAAAUAAUAGCAGUUUAUGUUGCAUGUUUUCCUGUGAGGUCACUGCUGACCACUUCCUCCGACCCUGGUGACCCGGUUUGAAGGGAACCUGCUGGUGUACCUCGUGUACGUCAGAGGAACCGGGUCCACAUCCAUUUGUUCGAGCACCUCCGUCUUCAGCGCCUUUUGGUUUGGUUCUUCACUCGUGUCUGAUGCAUUGUUGUGUUUUGACGGCACGCGAGCACCGCAGCCCGCUGCAGUGUCGAGGAUAUAUGCAGUAGAUCGCCACAGAACGCCACUGCAGCUGGUCUCUGAAGGCUGGAAGUGUGGCAGGUCAGACGGGUCGGAGGUGGGCCGGCAGCAGAGUGGACGGCCAAACCCUAACAGACCGGGAAAAACAUGCAAACCUCCUGACACAUAUCGCUACCUCAACGCAAAACCUCAGCUAGAAGAUUGUUCAGAAGAGAACAGAAACGGGACUCACAGUUCACUUUAAUUUAUUCUGUUCCCUCCAUCAGAGACGGAACAAACCGUUGGGGUUUUGGUCCCGGUGGGACCGCUGGAGCGUCUGACUGGGCCCGUCAGCGGGUCAUCCUGGAGGGGUUUCGAACCGUGACCUCCUCAGAAAUCCCCGCUGGUGCUCCAGCUCCGCUCCACAGCGCCCCCUGGUCCUCACCUCUGGAACAACACCAGAAAGCAUCUCAUCAUUUUGUUGAUCUACCUCUUAGGAAAAAAUAGAUAAAAGCAGUAAUUUCUCCUUAUAAAGCUCACAAAAUGCAGAAAAAAAGAAGACUGAAAUUGCUGAGAGAUAUUAUAGUUUAAAGAAUAACACGGUAGCGGCAUCUCCAUAUACUGUAGUGGAUAGUCUAUUAAAGAAAACCUUUCCUUCCUCCAAAGAUGAUUUUACUUUCUUCCUCCACUCCUAGAUGAUUUCAGAAGACUAUAAAGGGGGACAGAGCUCGCCGCCUGUAAUUAAUGUUCUUUAAACCCAACAUACCAGAGAUUUCUUUCCCCUCACUCUGCUGCAGACGUGCUUCGGUCGGCUCCUGAUCUCCUUGGUUCUGACAGCAGAUUGUAUCUCUUAUGUUCGGGUGCAUUUAGCAUUUCUUUCUGUGUGAAAGCCUUCAUGAGGAGAGCGCCCCGCGAGGACCUUCCACUUUCACUGCUGAUGAGUCGUCGUCAAAGAAAAGGACCUGUUAUUGUGCGCUGACUGCGCCGCUGCAGGUGGGAGGAAGAGGGCGCCGCGCCUUCCGUACGGCCCGCCACACCUGGGCCCUCCUCCUCCUCACCUGACGGCGGCUUUGUUCUCUAAUUAUAUGGACUUUCACCCUCUGCCUGCCUGAUUUCUUUAGUCCUCAUCAACACUCGUUUAAUUCCUUGUAAACAAACAGAGCAUAGAUAUGAAUGUGUUAUUAAAAGAUGAUCAUGGAC